rnacentral:rRNA from 1 species
UGGUCAAGUUAUUAAGGGUGCAGGGCGGAUGCCUUGGCACUAGGAGCCGAUGAAGGACGUGAUAAGCUGCGAUAAGCUUCGGGGAGUUGCACGUAAACUUUGAUCCGAAGAUUUCCGAAUGAGGAAACUCACUUAGAGUAAUGUCUAAGUAUCAUUAAGUGAAUACAUAGCUUAAUGAGGGGAACUCAGGGAACUGAAACAUCUAAGUACCUGAAGGAAGAGAAAGAAAGUCGAUUCCGUAAGUCGCGGCGAGCGAACGCGGAUUAGCCCAAACCAAUAAAGUUUUCUUUAUUGGGGUUGCGGACAUAUCAUAACGAAGAGGUAUCGUAAUUGAAGAGGUUUGGAAAGACCCACCACAGAAGGUAAUAGUCCUGUAUGUUAAACGAGAAGACUUUAGAUAUGAUCCAGAGUACCACGGGACACGUGAAACCCUGUGGGAAGCAGGAGGGACCACCCUCCAAGGCUAAAUACUACCUAGUGACCGAUAGCGUAUA